rnacentral:rRNA from 1 species
GAAAUCUGGCCCCCCGGCCCGAGUUGUAAUUUGCAGAGGAUGCUUCUGGCGACGCGCCUUCCGAGUUCCCUGGAACGGGACGCCACAGAGGGUGAGAGCCCCGUCCGGUCGUGCGCCUAGCCUGUGUGAAGCUCCUUCGACGAGUCGAGUAGUUUGGGAAUGCUGCUCUAAAUGGGAGGUAUACGUCUUCUAAAGCUAAAUACCGGCCAGAGACCGAUAGCGCACAAGUAGAGUGAUCGAAAGAUGAAAAGCACUUUGAAAAGAGGGUUAAAUAGUACGUGAAAUUGCUGAAAGGGAAGCGCUUAUGACCAGACUUGGGCCCGGUGAAUCACCCAGCGUUCUCGCUGGUGCACUUUGCCGGCCCAGGCCAGCAUCAGUUCGCGCCGGGGGAUAAAGGCUUCGGGAAUGUAGCUCCCUCGGGAGUGUUAUAGACCGUUGCGCAAUACCCUGGGGCGGACUGAGGUACGCGUUCUGCAAGGAUGCUGGCGUAAUGGUCAUCAGUGACCCGUCUUGAAACCCGGGGCCCA